AUGCUUCUCCUAAAGACUAAGCCAUGCAUGCUCUGAAUAUGAGGAAGCAAUUCUCUCUGAAUCUGCGAACGGCUCCGCAAACCAGUUGUAAACCAAAGCAAGCUUGCUCGGGUUGGGCUUCGGCCUGGCCUGGGUGAUACGGAUAACCCUGGUAAUUCUGAGGCUAAUACGUGUAUGGAGCACCCGGUGGACCGGCCUCACGGCUGGGAUAUCGGGAGACGAGUGAUGGGAAUGUUUGGAUUACCAGGAACGGGCG
rnacentral:rRNA from 1 species